rnacentral:rRNA from 1 species
AUUGAACGCUGGCGGCAGGCCUAACACAUGCAAGUCGAACGAGUGGCGGACGGGUGAGUAAUGUCUGGGAAACUGCCCGAUGGAGGGGGAUAACUACUGGAAACGGUAGCUAAUACCGCAUACCAUCGGAUGUGCCCAGAUGGGAUUAGCUAGUAGGUGGGGUAAUGGCUCCCCAAGGCGACGAUCCCGAGCUGGUCGUAGAGGAUGACCAACCACACUGGAACUGGGACACGGUCCGGACUCCUACGGGAGGCAGCAGUGGGGAAUAUUGCACAAUGGGAGCAAGCCUGAUGCAGCCAUGCCGCGUGUAUGAAGAAGGCCGUCGGGUUGUAAAGUACUGUCAGCGGGGAGGCGUUACCCGCAGAAGAAGCACCGGCUAACUCCGUGCCAGCAGCCGCAGUAAUAC